rnacentral:misc_RNA from 1 species
GAACGCACCUUGCACCCUUUGGCAUUCCGAAGGGUAUGCUCGUUUGAGUGUCAUUGUACUCUCACUCUCCCGAUCUUUGGGUUGGGAGUGGUGGACUUGGGUGUUGCUGCUUUACCGUGGCUCACCUCAAAUGGAUUCGUGCAACUCCUGGUUGGACAUAGUACGGCGUGAUAAGUGUCUUCGCCGGCACCUCACUAGAGGGUGGCUGACCGGGAGCUCUGUGCUUCAAACCGUCUUCGGACAACAACUGACAACUUGACCUCAAAUCGAGUAGGACUACCCGCUGAACUUA